rnacentral:rRNA from 2 species
UACGUAGGGUGCAAGCGUUGUCCGGAAUCAUUGGGCGUAAAGAGCGUGUAGGCGGCUCGAUUAGUCCGCUGUAAAAGUCCAGGGCUCAACCCUGGGAUGCCGGUGGAAACUGUCGGGCUAGAGUCCGGGAGAGGCGAGUGGAAUUCCUGGUGUAGCGGUGAAAUGCGCAGAUAUCAGGAGGAACACCAAUGGCGAAGGCAGCUCGCUGGAACGGUACUGACGCUGAGACGCGAAAGCGUGGGGAG